GAUGAAGAACGUAGCGAAAUGCGAUAAGUGGUGUGAAUUGCAGAAUUCAGUGAAUCAUCGAAUCUUUGAACGCACAUUGCGCCCCUUGGUAUCCCGAGGGGCAUGCCUGUUCGAGCGUCAUUUCACCACUCAAGCCUGGCUUGGUGUUGGGCGACGUCCCCUUUGGGGACGCGCCUCGAAACGCUCGGCGGCGUGGCACCGGCUUUAAGCGUAGCAGAAUCUUUCGCUUUGGAAGUCGGGGCCCCGUCUGCCGGAAGACCUACUCGCAAGGUUGACCUCGGAUCAGGCAGGGAUACCCGCUGAACUUAAGCAUAUCAAUAAGCGGAGGA
rnacentral:misc_RNA from 1 species